GGAUCGGUGUGUUUUGCUUCUUCUGUCGGCAAACCCUUGAGCUGUAUCAUAAAAGCAUAGGUGCACAAUGGAAUGGGCGCAAGUACAAUAAAACCACUUAGAGUUUGCUGCAUUGGUGAUUUAUGAAGCCGAGAUCGAAUUGCAGGCAUGUGAUGAUAGCCAUUGUGUUAGGAAGGUAGUGCGCGAUAGGCAGGCAGAUAACUGGGAUUUUUGGAUCUCGUCGUGAUAAUUUCCCGCCGGAGUGAUUGUUUAACCCAUAGUGAUCCCCUUGAAUUAUUGCCCUUGGAAGUAGAUAAAUAGCUGACUAAUAGGCCUUUGUGACUGGAGUAGAGCUGAGUUGAAUGAUUGUUAUGAAGCUAAUUUUUGACAAAACUCUACAGUACGGGAUUUUACAACUAGUUUUAGAUCCAAUUUUGCAAACAUUGCUGGGUACGUUGAUUACCUGGGGUCUAACAGCAGCAGGUGCGGCCUGUGUGUUCGUCCUGAAUUCAAACCAGAGAAAAAUUCUCGACGGGAGUUUGGGGUUUGCAGCAGGGGUGAUGCUAGCCGCAUCGUUUUGGUCGCUAUUAAAGCCAAGUCUUGAAAUCGCCUCAGAGUCGUUCGGAGCACUCUCGUUCAUUCCCGUCACGGUGGGGUUCAUUGCCGGUGGACUAUUUGUCUACCUCGUUGAUAUCCUAGUGUCUGAGAAGGGUACUGUGGGAAUUCUGCUAGCUGAUAAAGCAGUCAGUGACUCGAAAAAGGACGAUGAUUUGUUGCAAUAUAGAAAUUACCACGACGGCUCAAAUGAUUCAGUCAGAUUGGGCAAGAACGCGCGUGACCUCCGAUGGAAAAGGGUUUUACUUUUAAUCAUAGCUAUCACGGUGCACAAUAUACCGGAGGGACUUGCGGUCGGUGUUGGCUUUGGGGCCACGGCCACAACUCAGGCAAUAAGUUUCUCAUCAGCAGCCAAUCUGGUCUUAGGAAUUGGUGUUCAGAAUUUCCCGGAGGGGCUAGCAGUUAGUCUGCCACUUCGAGCUGCUGGCUUUUCGAAAUCAAAAGCAUUCUGGUAUGGUCAGCUGAGUGGAAGCGUUGAACCGUUAUUUGGAAUCCUCGGCUGUCUGCUUAUCUCCUAUGCCCAGCCCAUGUUACCGUACAGCCUGGCUUUUGCAGCUGGCGCAAUGGUGUUCGUGGUCCUUGAUGACAUUGUGCCAGAGUCUCAAGCUUGGGAGCAGAAGAAACAUCUAAUAUUCUACUUGUCAUGUUGUUCUCGAAAUGCUGCCAGAAUUAGUCGUGAACAGGAAAUUGCACUUUUAUAGUUGCGUUUCCUUUAAGAUCUAGAGCCUUGGCGACAACGAAAGGCAUUACCGAGUGUAAAAGCGCGAAUCGGAUGCGUACUUAAAUAAUGGAAGACAAGGAUAUUUAUAAUUCAAAUCCAUCCGGUCUAUCAGGGUUCAGCUCAUCCGCCUUUCUCCCAGCAGGCAGUCAGUUAUCUAGUGAGGACGACGUCCCUUUAGGGAAAGGAGGCACUGAGAGGGGGAGCUGCAAGAAAAACGUCGGAAUCAAAGCAGACAAAAAAGGACCAGGAAAUCAGGCGAACAAAAAAAGAAACAGCGAGGGCGGUUCGUGUAAGCGCUGUGGGCCCGUUUUCAUUACAUCGUUCAUUAUUCUGGUCGUGAUCGGAAUCGGUUCCUUCCUUUUCGUAACUUUCCAGCUAACUGGUAACCCUUUGAGCAGUCCCGUUCGUCAGCCCAACAAUUGGACUACAGAUACUUUUCAUAGUAAAGUUCCAUUGGAACUGACUACAAACGAAGCAUACGAGCCGCGAGAAUCAACCUUAUCGAACAUCGUGGCAUUGGCAACUACCAGACAGUUACCAAUAACAGAAUCACCAGGAAUACCAACGGAAGGAUCUAAUUCGUCAGCUCAAGCCCAAUCAGUAUUAGAGACAGCCCAAGAAACCACGCCUAACAAAAAUAACCGCUCCAACGUCGAAGCGUCUCCUAACAGUACCAAGUAAUUUAAAAACGACCAUGAUUUUCAUGGUUUUUUCUUGACGUCAACUAUGUUGUACAGGCUAUGUAAGAAUAGGACUUCGUAUCGCUGUAACGAGACGUAGCAGAUGUACGUUAAAGACAGGGUAUUUUAGGUUUAAACCGAUCAUAAAAUAUCGCCUUUUUCGCUAACCUUCGUAUUGACCACACUCUUCGCCAAGGGCGCAGUGAUAGUUGUAAAGGGCCGCGUAAUCGGGAAAGGCAAGGCAUUAUUGAUGCGUAUGCUGUGAUUCUCUAUGUGUUGGUUUUUUUGUAUGGGCAAUUUAUCUAAAGUGGAGUUAACGGAAUGGGAUACCGGCCCAAGCAGUGAAGUCAAAAUAGAAUACUAGCUCAUAGUCUUGACUUUGCAUCGCCGUGAAGAAGAAGGGGCACUUAAAUCAUACCGCUUUUUCAUCGCAUGUUAGCAACGACGAUGGUAGUACCCCAAGUUAUUAUUGAUUAGUGUUUAUUAAUGGAACUGCAAGAUGUUUUGAGCUGCAGUAAAUCUCGUGUGGUUAGUUUUAAAUGCAUCUUCCGAGCAGAACGAUAUGAGCGUCGUUGCAAAGUUGACUAUAGUCAAACAAGAGGUGCAUUUUUUUGGUGUUUUGAUUCAUCAAUAAUCUGUCUCGUUAUAAUUUGUAUGCAUUUGAAUGUAUACUACAUUUUUAAUAAAGGUCGAUAUUCUAAAGCAAGCGCGGUUGCCUCUGUGCGGUACUGAGCCUUAAGUAACCGUUGCAUCGUAUAGAUAAUUAGUUCAUUAAUCAAAACAAUUCUUAGUAUCUUACUAUUAAAUUCUUAUAAUACAAUUUCUCAAUACAUUUUUUAAUUUACUCCUAAUUGAAGUGGAUCUUCUGCGAGAAAGGUCCAAUCGUUCUGAAGAUCCGUAAGGGCCCAAAUAAAUAGUACCUCUAAAAAAAUGGCAAUCUCAUUACAUUAAAAUUAGCUUUGAAAUUAUAGGCAAAUUAAUAAUAAAUUUUAACCAUGGAGCUGUGUACGUCUAGUACUGCAUUGCACGACAAUCCAAACAUUUUACGUAUAUGUAUCCGACAGGCGUACAUGGAUUGGAUUCGCCCUCUGAAGACUGAUAGACGUUCCUUAUUAGAUGGGUUGAUACCACGGUUACGAACACAUUGCUUUAGUCAUUUUGUUAAUAAUAAGUAUAAAUUCAUAGGGUUAUUAUAUCGGAAAUAUAUGCUGCCCUGAUUUUAACUAGCGUCUACUCCUCAUCUAAGCUUAAAAAACAGGUGUGACUGAAGAGAAAACGGCGCAUUUGUAAGUUACGAUACUUAUUUCUCCCAUAUUAAAUUUAUUGGAUUAUUAUUUCUUCUCAAUUUAAGUGUUCUAACCCAGCGCGCAUGGGCAUAGCACCAAAACCUUUUUAGGGGAUUGCCGACUCCACCCAGUGUUUACUCACUGAUGCCUAGACAACUCUCUCUAAUGACAAGGUCCUAUUCGAGUGUCCGCUACAGUUCAGCAUCUGCGAUGUGUGCCGAUGCUUGCUUAUUUUGUAGCAACUAAAAGUUGUCUUUAAACAUUUCAGAACUCCACAAUCUUUAUGCCUUCCUUCAACAACAAUGUUUUCUUUUAUUUCUGAUGUUUUCCCCUCAUAGCAUUGCUAGAUCUAGAAAAUACAAAUCUCCCAUAUACUGAACUGUAUUAAUUUAACGCGAUGCCUAUUUUAGCAACGGCAUUGAAGUUUACGGUAGUAAUUUUUUACAGCUGUCAAAUCGCAAAAUUAUUUAAUAUGAAGAGAACUAGCGUUGACACUCCUGGCAUACAUGCGGUAAGUAGUAAAUACACAAUUCUAAUUUCGUCCCCUCAGAUAUGCAGUACUAUAGGUAUCGUUGAAUGGACAUCCGAAUGUACAAUACGUUCAAUACAAAUCAAUAAACACUAAAUCGAUUAUUAAUAGUCAAUACAAAUAUAAUAAUAAUUAGUAAUAAAUAAAAACUGAAUACGUUUUAGUCUAAGCAUGACUAACUAGUAUAACGUCAAUGUUUUUUCUGUCUACGACAAUAUCUAGCACUUUGUCAAAAACGAGAAAAAGCUUCUAAGGAAAACGCAAAGGCCGCGGCAGUAGAUAAAAAUUUAAAUCACCCGCUUCUUUAGGCGACGUUAAUGAACCCCCAAAAACCACAACGUAUAUGUAUGAUCCGACACAAUUAAGCCAACCGGCUUCAUUCGUCGGGUUGUCCGCCUGGUUAGGCGAUCAUUUGUUCAUUUUCCUUGAGAUAAAUGGUUUUUUUAUUUCUGUGCUUUUCUUCUGGAAUAAUUAGGUUUUUCAAAAAAAUUAGUAUACGUUUUCGUUAAAAAUAUCUGCUGGGUACUAAUUUAGUAAUCGGAAUAUAUUUAGUUUUUAAAAAUUAUAAAAUCUGCUUCCCUUUUCAUUUUACGAUCAAGGUUACCUGUGAUCAAUGGCCAUAUUAACGUCAAACCAUUUAUUUAACCAGCAGCUCCUGUUUAAGAAACUCUCAAUACGUUUUGGAACUGAACAAUGCUCUAAAUGUAGGCGUUCUGCUUUACGGAUGAUCAAUAUAGAAUUUGUCAGUGAUUGUUGAAGAAAAAGCAGGAAACGUGCCAAACAAGUAGCAACGUACGCCGAUAGUACCCCAAAUUACGAAUGAAACGCUUCUGUGGUACAAUGUGUAGCAGCAGCAGCAGCAGCGUUUCGUAGACAUUAUUGAAAGUAGUUAUUUUUUUAUCAAUAGACGCUCUUUUUCUAAUAGCUGAAAACCUAGCCGGAACAUGCUAAACUGAUGAGGAGAAUGUCCUGAAAUGCCAUAUCGGUAUCGGUGUACCUGUUCAUAAAUUGUUUAGCCUCUAGGCACCCAUUACGUCUAUAAAUGUAAGUAAAACACAUGAAGUUCUGGAAAUAGUAGAUCGCGCUUCCUUAUUUGCCUUGCGAAUUCACAAUUUCAGCGAUUCCAUUCAGUCGAGUAGAAUUUAAUGGCUUUCGGUAUAAGUUUACGUAAUUUACCUAACUGAAUUCGAUUGUGUAGGGCGGCAUUGGGUUUUAAUGCCUCAACCCGCGAAGUGACCUGCGCUACGAAUAAAAAAAUAUUUAUUUUCUGCUUUUUUUUUUAUUUCUUGAGCUUGAAAUGCGACCUCCGUGAUGCGCCCUAGGACAUCUAGCUUCCCGCCCGAGAAGUUUUUAUGAGAUAUAGUUUUCUUAUAGUCGAUGUUUCUAAGCACUAUGACAGAAGCAAUUCAGAAAGCAGAUUUUAUGGCCAAAAACCCAACUUCUAUCAAAUAAGACAUCUCGUAACUGUACAGUGGCAUUUUUACAUUUUUUUUUAUCAAAUCGUUUUAUAUAUACAGAUAUUGUAAAAAAUGAGUAGAUGUUAGACACGCUGCUUUUGAAAGACAUAUGAAUUUCUCGACGUCUACCACAUGUUCGACCGCCGCAACGUAAGUUCUAUUAAUAGUAUGUAAAGUUACUUGUGAUAACUACUUGUG